rnacentral:rRNA from 1 species
GACGAACGCUGGCGGCGUGCUUAACACAUGCAAGUCGAGCGAUGAAAUCUUAACAGAACCCUUCGGGGUGAAGAUAAGACGGAUUAGCGGCGGACGGGUGAGUAACACGUGAGUAACCUGCCUUUUACACAGGGAUAGCCCCAGGAAACCGGGAUUAAAACCUGAUGAAACUAUCAAAUCACAAGAUGAAGAAAGUUAAAACUCCGGUGGUAAAAGAUGGACACGCGUCACUUUAGCUAGUUGGUGAUGGUAACGGCCCACCAAGGCAACGAUGGUUAGCCGGCCUGAGAGGGUGAACGGCCACAUUGGAACUGAGAAACGGUCCAAACUCCUACGGGAGGCAGCAGUGGGGAAUAUUGCACAAUGGGGGAAACCCUGAUGCAGCGACGCCGCGUGAGCGAGGAAGGCCUUCGGGUCGUAAAGCUCUUUUAUAUGGGAAGAUAAUGACGGUACCAAAAGAAAAAGCCCCGGCUAACUACGUG